AACUAGUUUAUUCUUUAGAUAUUUAGUAAUUAGGUAUUUGAAAUUAGUUUAUUAGUUUCCAAUCCUUUGUGCUUCCUGAAAUUUAGAGAAAGAGGGACACAUAUCAUUAUAAAGGUUAUUGUUGUGAUUGGUUUAUGUAAAGCAUUAUAAGCCUAUGAAAUGCAAAUAGACAAAUUUUGUGAGCAUAGGAUUGUUUGUCUGCAAUAGCAUUGUUGGAUUUACCAUAGCUUAAGUGGGGUUUACUUGAUUUUUGCUUGUAUCUAUCUAUUUUUAGUAUAGUAGUAUCUGGUUUUUUCUGUAUUCAAUAAUGUCAAUUAUUUUACUCAUGUUUUAUAUAUAUAUGAAUGUAUGAUUUGAUUUUUAUAAUUUUUUGUUUGUUGGUUAUUAGAUUAUGAAUAAUUUGGUCGUGAUGAGUUUAGCUUCGAAAACAUAACCGUUGCUAAUGGUGUGGGGAAAGAAGUGCCCGUGCUUUCAAAGCCUGGUUCAAGCUCCACGACUAAGCUUCAUCAUAAAGUUGGAUCUCAAGGUAGUAUAAAAUAGUUUUUGAAAUAUGCUAGUUGCAAAAAUUAGCCUGAAAUAUUGGUCUAGUAGUAUAAAAUAGUUUUUGAAAACCGAACGAUAUAUUUGAGAAUAACCUCUAACUUUAUUGAUAUUGUGUAAGUCAAUUUCAUUAUGUGAUAGAA
rnacentral:lncRNA from 1 species